rnacentral:lncRNA from 1 species
AUGCAUCCUGCCCUCCCGAAGGGCGCGCCUUUGCAGGGAGGGGACGGGGCUCCGAGAGCGAGGCGGGAGGAGCGAGCUCCCGGCCACGGGGACCGGCCUCCGCCGAGCGGGGCCCCUGCCGUGACCUCCCACGGGCGCGGCCCUCGGGCUGGGGAGGACGCCGCCGGCUGCCGGGGCGCUGCGGGGCCUGGGUGCGCCCGCGGGGGUCCCAGACGCCGCCGGGACCGGGCGCGCGGGGUCCGCCUUUCCGAGCUCCGGGGGCGGCUCCCGGCGCCGCUGCACCUGCUCCCCGCCAGGCCGCCGGGUGCGGGGCCGCGCGCUGAGAAGUCUUUUGGGAAGAGCAGUGCUUCUGGGCAGUUCAUCCACUUGCCGAGGGGACAAUGGGAUAAUUUGGAGAUUGAGAUAAAAAGAAACAGGAACCAAGGGGAGGAGAAGCACCAACUACCUGCAAGAAUAGUUCCCUGA